UACGUAGGGUGCGAGCGUUAAUCGGAAUUACUGGGCGUAAAGCGUGCGCAGGCGGCUUCGCAAGUCAGACGUGAAAUCCCCCGGGCUUAACCUGGGAAUUGCGUCCGAAACUAUGGAGCUGGAGUGUGGCAGAGGGAGGUGGAAUUCCACGUGUAGCGGUGAAAUGCGUAGAGAUGUGGAGGAACACCGAUGGCGAAGGCAGCCUCCUGGGCCAACACUGACGCUCAUGCACGAAAGCGUGGGGAGCAAACAGG
rnacentral:rRNA from 1 species